AACGAACGCUGGCGGCAUGCCUAACACAUGCAAGUCGAACGAGACCUUCGGGUCUAGUGGCGCACGGGUGCGUAACGCGUGGGAACCUGCCCUUAGGUUCGGAAUAACUCCCCGAAAGGGGUGCUAAUACCGGAUAAUGUCUUCGGACCAAAGAUUUAUCGCCUUUGGAUGGGCCCGCGUUGGAUUAGCUAGUUGGUAGGGUAAAAGCCUACCAAGGGGACGAUCCAUAGCUGGUUUGAGAGGAUGAUCAGCCACUCUGGGACUGGGACACGGCCCAGACUCCUACGGGAGGCAGCAGUGGGGAAUAUUGGAAAAUGGGCGGAAGCAUGAUCCAGCAAUGCCGCGUGAGUGAUGAAGGCCUUAGGGUUGUAAAGCUCUUUUAACCGGGAUGAUAAUGACAGUACCGGGAGAAUAAGCUCCGGCUAACUCCGUG
rnacentral:rRNA from 1 species